ACGAAGGGGGCAAGCGUUGUUCGGAAUUACUGGGCGUAAAGCGCGUGUAGGUGGUUGCACGAGUCAGGCGUGAAAGCCUCGAGCUCAACUCGAGAACUGCGCUUGAUACUGUGCGGCUAGAGGACCGGAGAGGAUAGUGGAAUUCCCAGUGUAGUGGUGAAAUACGUAGAGAUUGGGAAGAACACCAGUGGCGAAGGCGGCUAUCUGGACGGUUUCUGACACUAAGACGCGAAAGCGUGGGGAGCAAACAGGA
rnacentral:rRNA from 1 species